GGUAGUUUAGUAGGUAAAAUAGAUGAAUAGUUAGGAAAAGUAAUUUUCAUUAGAGAUGUAGCAGUUGGUAUCUCGUGGUAGCAUAAGGAGGAUGGGAGAGAGGAAGUAGGGGCCAGACUGUGAUAGUGUGAGCCGGGGUAAGCUUGGUGCUACCUCUUUUCUUUUGUUUGUUAUUUUCUUUGAAUAAGAAGAUUAAGAGUUUCUGAAUAUUGUGAAAGUGAAUUAUGGAAUAGAAGUAUGAUU
rnacentral:lncRNA from 1 species